rnacentral:rRNA from 1 species
AGAGUUUGAUCCUGGCUCAGGACGAACGCUGGCGGCGUGCUUAACACAUGCAAGUCGAACGGAAGGGCCUCUUCGGAGGUACUCGAGUGGCGAACGGGUGAGUAACACGUGGGCAAUCUGCCCUGCACUUCGGGAUAAGCCUGGGAAACUGGGUCUAAUACCGGAUAGGACCUCAAGACGCAUGUCUUCUGGUGGAAAGCUUUUGCGGUGUGGGAUGGGCCCGCGGCCUAUCAGCUUGUUGGUGGGGUGACGGCCUACCAAGGCGACGACGGGUAGCCGGCCUGAGAGGGUGUCCGGCCACACUGGGACUGAGAUACGGCCC